rnacentral:rRNA from 1 species
ACGGGGAGCAGCCCAGAGCCUGAAUCAGUAUGUGUGUUAGUGGAAGCGUCUGGAAAGGCGCGCGAUACAGGGUGACAGCCCCGUACACAAAAAUGCACAUGCUGUGAGCUCGAUGAGUAGGGCGGGACACGUGGUAUCCUGUCUGAAUAUGGGGGGACCAUCCUCCAAGGCUAAAUACUCCUGACUGACCGAUAGUGAACCAGUACCGUGAGGGAAAGGCGAAAAGAACCCCGGCGAGGGGAGUGAAAAAGAACCUGAAACCGUGUACGUACAAGCAGUGGGAGCACGCUUAGGCGUGUGACUGCGUACCUUUUGUAUAAUGGGUCAGCGACUUAUAUUCUGUAGCAAGGUUAACCGAAUAGGGGAGCCGAAGGGAAACCGAGUCUUAACUGGGCGUUAAGUUGCAGGGUAUAGACCCGAAACCCGGUGAUCUAGCCAUGGGCAGGUUGAAGGUUGGGUAACACUAACUGGAGGACCGAACCGACUAAUGUUGAAAAAUUAGCGGAUGACUUGUGGCUGGGGGUGAAAGGCCAAUCAAACCGGGAGAUAGCUGGUUCUCCCCGAAAGCUAUUUAGGUAGCGCCUCGUGAAUUCAUCUCCGGGGGUAGAGCACUGUUUCGGCAAGGGGGUCAUCCCGACUUACCAACCCGAUGCAAACUGCGAAUACCGGAGAAUGUUAUCACGGGAGACACACGGCGGGUGCUAACGUCCGUCGUGAAGAGGGAAACAACCCAGACCGCCAGCUAAGGUCCCAAAGUCAUGGUUAAGUGGGAAACGAUGUGGGAAGGCCCAGACAGCCAGGAUGUUGGCUUAGAAGCAGCCAUCAUUUAAAGAAAGCGUAAUAGCUCACUGGUCGAGUCGGCCUGCGC